AUACAUGCAGUCGAACGAUGAGAUACUUUCGGGUAUCAUCAGUGGCGGACGGCUGAGUAACGCGUAGAUAACGUGCCUCUUACUGGGGGAUAACAUCGGGAAACCGGUGCUAAUACCGCAUAAGUCACGAGUUGAAAUACUUGUGAUUAAAGAAUUUCGGUAAGAGAUCGGUCUGCGUCUGAUUAGCUAGUUGGUAGGGUAAAGGCCUACCAAGGCAAUGAUCAGUAGUUGGUCUGAGAGGAUGACCAGCCAGAGUGGGACUGAGACACGGCCCACACUUCUACGGAAGGCAGCAGUAGGGAAUUUUGCGCAAUGGGCGAAAGCCUGACACAGCAACACCGCGUGUAGGAUGAAGGAUUUCGGUUCGUAAACUACUGUCAGCAGGGAAUAUAAUGACUGUACCUGCAGAGGAAGCAUCGGCUAACUACGUGCCAGCAGCCGCGGUAAGACGUAGGAUGCAAGCGUUGUCCGGAAUUAUUGGGCGUAAAGAGUUCGUAGGCGGUUGCCUAAGUCUGAUGUUAAAUACUGGAGCUCAACUCCGGCAUGGCAUUGGAAACUGGGCGGCUAGAGUGUGGUAGAGGUCUCGGGAAUUCCAGGUGUAGCGGUGAAAUGCGUAGAUAUCUGGAGGAACACCGGUGGCGAAAGCGCGAGACUGGGCCAUAACUGACGCUGAGGAACGAAAGCCAGGGGAGCGAAAGGGGUUAGAUACCCCUGUAGUCCUGGCCGUAAACGAUGGAUACUAGGUGUAGGAGGAUUCGACCCCUUCUGUGCCGUAGCUAACGCGAUAAGUAUCCCGCCUGGGGAGUACGACCGCAAGGUUGAAACUCAAAGGAAUUGACGGGGGCCCCGCACAGCGGUGGAACAUGUGGUUUAAUUCGAUGCAACGCGAA
rnacentral:rRNA from 1 species